ACUUUCAAAGGAUAAUAGUAAUCCAAUGGUCUUAGGAACCAUCCAUCUUGGUGCAAAUCCAAGUGAAAGUA
rnacentral:tRNA from 5 species